rnacentral:rRNA from 1 species
GACGAACGCUGGCGGCGUGCUUAACACAUGCAAGUCGAACGGAAAGGCCCACCACCUUGGUGGUGGGUACUCGAGUGGCGAACGGGUGAGUAACACGUGGGUGAUCUGCCCCGCACUGUGGGAUAAGCCUGGGAAACUGGGUCUAAUACCACAUACGACCAUGGCGUAGGGGUCAUGGUGGAAAGCCUUGUGCGGUGUGGGAUGAGCCCGCGGCCUAUCAGCUUGUUGGUGGGGUAAUGGCCUACCAAGGCGGCGACGGGUAGCCGGCCUGAGAGGGUGGACGGCCACAUUGGGACUGAGACACGGCCCAGACUCCUACGGGAGGCAGCAGUGGGGAAUAUUGCACAAUGGGCGCAAGCCUGAUGCAGCGACGCCGCGUGGGGGAUGACGGCCUUCGGGUUGUAAACUCCUUUCGCCCGGGACGAAGCCC